rnacentral:misc_RNA from 1 species
CUGAGUUUAGAUGGAGGGAGCGAUCCCUCCUCUUCUUCUCUUCACCCUUUGUUAUUAUUUGUACAAGUUGCUUUGGUGGUUGAUUUUCUUUUUCGAAAUCUUCUGCCAGACAGCUUUUUCAAACACUUUGCUAUCCAAUAAUUGAGAUAUCUUCUUGUCUAAUUCUUUACGACUUGAAUAAGUAUGUA